rnacentral:lncRNA from 1 species
GGCUCAAGCACUUUGACGGGUAGAUGGCACUCAGGUCAGUACCCCUAAAUGGGGAGGCUCUGGCCAGUCACUGCCUUGGCUCUGGGAGCCUGGACUAUAUUUGGAACUCUUAGGGGCCCUGGGUCAUUGUGAAGUCUCCAGCGAGGAAUCUGCCUCUCAUUUGCUUGGAUGAAACACUGUUGAGCAGUUUGGGCUGUGCUGGUUCUGAAGAGUGAAGCAGCAUUGCAGGGGUUCUUGCUCUGUGGAGAGGUAGGGCAACCCUGGCUACAGACCAGGGUAGCCCCAGCCUUAGCAUCACUCUAGCGGCUCUGAGUGUUUGUAGAUCCUGCCAUGGCUAGGAUCUUGUUCCAGCCCUGUUUCUGGGACUCCUCUACUACCACAGCCUGCUGGCCCACAGACCUCCUUCUCCUCUGCAUCCCGGUGGUCCUGACUCAGACCUUCUACAUUGUCACUUAGCAUUCACAACUCGCCAUUGAUCAAUGUCCCCCUUGGGAUCCUGUCUCACCAGGAGAACAAGUUGUACCAGCCUGUGCCCUUGGAUGCCAUUCCAGGCAGCAAUUCUGAAGACAGCUCUGGGGCUCCUCAGGUCUCUCUGCAGUGCUCCUCCUUCCCCUCUGCCUCCACUGCCCCAUCUCACCAGCCCUCCCCACCAACAUUUCCUCCAAGCCUCAACAAGUCACCCAAGAGUAUUCUAAGGUCCCUGCUGGUCUAUCUGACAAUAUGCAGAUAGGCCUUGGUUGCCUUGGCUGGCUGUGACCUUGCUGACAUCUAUAGACAGAGAGGUGGGAAUGAAAGACACAUUACUCCUGGAUGUUGGUGGAGAAGGUGGUGGUUGCAGUUGCUACGCAAGAGUCACCAGGCUGCAGACUCUGUCCACUUCUGAGAGUGCAAUGUCCCCUGUGAUUGGCUGGGAUUUCUGAGCUUUUCAGCUUGCAUAUGGUGAGAAUGUUGGCACACCGCAGCCCUGAGGGCCUGGGCUUUGGACUCCGGCAGUCCCACAUGUGUGUGCUACCUCUGCCGCUCUCUGGUUGUAUGAAGUCAAGCAAUGUCUGUAACCUCACUGAGUCACAGCGCUCUGCUCUGUAGAAUGGAGAUGGGAUCCUCUCUACCUCCUGCAGUGUCUGUGAAUGCCAUAACACAAGCCAGAGUGCUGAGCACCGUGCCCACCCUAGAAGAGGGCUCGGUGUAUAGUAGCAGCUCUUAAUGCUCCCAGGAUGCCUAAUAAAUUCUUUCAGAAAAGUAUGUGCCCGUGUGUGUGGUUUUUAUUUGGCCAACCCAAGAGCUCUACUACUUCCCUUUUCUAAAGGCUAAAGGCAGGAGUGUGUAGAAUCUCUUUUUCAUGGUUA